GCCGCCGCUGGUGCAAGUCCAGCCACGCUUCGGCGUGGGCGCUCAUGGGU
rnacentral:misc_RNA from 1 species